AGCGUAGGCGGUUCGGUAUGUCGAAUGUGAAAGCCCACAACUCAACUGUGGAAAUGCAUUCGAAACUGCCGGGCUAGAGUACUGGAGAGGAGAGCGGAAUUCUUGGUGUAGCGGUGAAAUGCGUAGAUAUCAAGAGGAACACCGGUGGCGAAGGCGGCUCUCUGGACAGAUACUGACGCUGAGGCUCUAAAGUUAGGGGAGCAAACA
rnacentral:rRNA from 1 species